GACGAACGCUGGCGGCGUGCUUAACACAUGCAAGUCGAACGGAAAGGCCCUGCUUUUGUGGGGUGCUCGAGUGGCGAACGGGUGAGUAACACGUGAGUAACCUGCCCUUGACUUUGGGAUAACUUCAGGAAACUGGGGCUAAUACCGGAUAGGAGCUCCUGCUGCAUGGUGGGGGUUGGAAAGUUUCGGCGGUUGGGGAUGGACUCGCGGCGUAUGAGCUAGUUGGGGGGGUAGCGGCUUACCAAGGGUUUGACGGGUAGCCGGCCUGAGAGGGUGGCCGGCCACCCUGGAACAGAGACGCGGUCCAGACGCCUAAGGGAGGCAGCAGUAGGGAAUCUGACGCAAUGGGCGAAAGCGGGACGGAGCAACGCCGCGUGAGUGACGAAGGUCUUCGGAUCGUAAAACUCUGUUAUGAGGGAAGAACAAAUGUGUAAGUAACUAUGCACGUCUUGACGGGACCUAAUCAGAAAGCCACGGCUAACUACGUG
rnacentral:rRNA from 1 species